rnacentral:lncRNA from 1 species
UUUUCCUCUCUUCCACUCUUGCAGCCGCCCCAAUUCCUCUCCUCUUGGCUGCAGCCGCCCACUCUCCAUCAAACCCUAGCCACCCCCUUUCCCAAUCCCCCUCCCAAGGUGCAGCCCCUCUCCUUUGGGAUCUCCAUCGAGUGGUGCAAGCCUCUAAUUGGAGAAUUGGUGGAGUAAGAACAGAGAGGUGAAGGAAUAACUCAAGGUGAUCUUAUGUUUAUUUUGUAUUUUUGCUGCGAUUACGUUUGAUUAACCGUUCCCCUAAGCGAAUUGGUGGUAGUGCUGUCCUGAUUUUGGGUGGCAGGCGGAUAGAAGUAUUGUGGGCAGUUUCUGGGGUUUUUGCAGCGGUAAUUAGAUGUAAUCACUAUGAUAAUCAUAUAGAGCUUUGUCAUACCUUUCCAACGAGUACUUAUGCGCUCGAUUCGGAGUUAUAAUUUAGGAGAUAUCGUUGUUUGAAUCUGGGUAUGUUGCUGUCCAAAAAACAGAUUUCCGCAGGUGGGCGAACAGCAUUAGUAUUAGCAGAUUCUGGGGAUUUUUCGUGGGAAAUUAGUGAUAAUAAAUAUGAUAAUCAUGUAGAGCUUUGUCAUACCUUUCCAACGAGUACUUAUGCGUUCGAUUCGGAGAUAUAAUUUAGGAGAUAUCGCUGUUUGAAUCCGGGUAUGUUGCUGUCCAAAAAACAGAUUUCCGCAGGUGGACGAACAACAUUAGUAUUAGCAGAUUCUGGGUAUUUUUCGUGGGAAAUUAGUGAUAAUCAUUAUGAUAAUCAUGUAGAUCUUUGUCAUACCUUUCCAACGAGUACUUAUGCGCUUGAUUCGGAGUUAUAAUUUAGGAGGUAUCGCUGUUUGAAUCUGGGUACGUUGUUGUCCAAAAACAGAUUGCAGGAUGUAUCUUGUGAACGGUUUUGGGCUAAGUAGAUGUGGAAAUUUAAUUAUCUUUGGAAUACAAAACUUGUGGGGAAUUUUAUGUAGAUGCUUCCGGAGUUUUUGAUUCAUAUCACUGCUGUUAUAAUUUUAAAGUUAUGAAAUUAUCAAGCAGCGCCGCUGCAAUUUGGUGGUGAUGGGGAGAGUUGUCGCUCGCGACGGGUUGGAAUUGUGCGUAGGUGCGGCGUUGUUUAUUAGCGUUUGUUAUGUGAAUUUGUGCACUAAGGUGUGUGUCAAAAACAGGUGGUGGACUUCCGGAUCAUACUUAGUACCAUUCCAAAAUUCCGGUGAAGGCAAGUAAAUACAGUGGUGGUUGCUACCGUUUGGUUUGCAUCCUAUUCCCUGUCAUUGAGUAUGCAUAAGUUUUAAAUAUAUUAAUCAUUGAAUUCUAUGAUGAAGUUUAUUGGUUUGAAAGUAUUAAUUCUCAAUUGUCUAAUAUUGUGGAUGAUCAUAAUUUGGUAAUGAUAUAUAUGGUUGAUUCCCAUCUUGGAUGAAGUUGAAGUGUCUUUUUUUGAAUCACGUUAUAUGAAGUGUUGUAGGCAUAUCAUGCACACAUCGCAUCAUCCAUAUUGCAUUUUGAAGUUAUGUCGUGAUCUUAUGGUCCGACCGUACCGAUACAUUUUUAGCAUCGUACGUUGCCCGAGGAGGGGUACGAUGCGGCUUCAUAUCCUUAGAGGUAUGAAGGCAGAAGUCAUCCUUGCAUUUGCAGGCAUUUGCACUCAUGAGGAAUAUAUAAAGUGUGGCAUUACUAUGUUACUAUUGUGGUUUCUACCCGUGAGGUGUGGUAACUAGGUGUGUUGUAUGUUGUAUACGUGUUGCACCUUCGUAAUAAGAAGGUUGUGGAAUCAAGUGGUGGUAAAACAAUGUUCUUAUGUGGUUAAACAGUUUGAUAUUAUUUUACUUGCUGAGAUGUGUCAUCUCACUCUUGCAUUACUCAAUGCAGGUACUUGAUACAUGUUGGGAAUGAGGGGAGUAGCAGCACGUCCACUUUCACUCUCACAAUAACGCUACCCAGGCGCAGCCAUGAUUUAAUUAGAAACUUAUUGUCAAAGGAAGUUUGUUUUUUUAUAUAGUCGUGCGCACUGGUUAAUUCAUUUCAGGUCGUAUGUUUAUCUUUCCUUGCUA